UUAGGAAUUUUGGGCAAUGGGCGCAAGCCUGACCCAGCAACGCCGCGUGGGUGACGAAGGCCUUCGGGUUGUAAAGCCCUUUUCUCGGGGAAGAUGAUGACGGUACCCGAGGAAGAAGCACCGGCUAACUACGUGCCAGCAGCCGCGGUAAUACGUAGGGUGCAAGCGUUGCCCGGAUUUAUUGGGCGUAAAGGGCGCGCAGGCGGCUACGCACGUCCGUUGUGAAAUCGCCCGGCUCAACUGGGCGGGGUCAGCGGAUACGGCGUGGCUGGAGCAAGCUAGGGGGCAAUGGAAUUCCCGGUGUAGUGGUGGAAUGCGUAGAUAUCGGGAGGAACACCAGUGGCGAAGGCGGUUGCCUGGAGCUUUGCUGACGCUGAGGCGCGAAAGCGUGGGGAGCGAUCCGGAUUAGAUACCCGCGUAGUCC
rnacentral:rRNA from 1 species